rnacentral:rRNA from 1 species
UCAGUCGACUCCUACGGGGAGGCAGCAGUGGGGAAUAUUGCACAAUGGGGGAAACCCUGAUGCAGCCAUGCCGCGUGUGUGAAGAAGGCCUUCGGGUUGUAAAGCACUUUCAGUAGGGAGGAAGGUAGUGUAGUUAACACCUGCAUUAUUUGACGUUACCUACAGAAGAAAGCCCCCGGCUAACUCCGUGCCAGCAGCCGCGGUAAUACGGAGGGUGCGAGCGUUAAUCGGAAUUACUGGGCGUAAAGCGCAUGCAGGCGGCCUGUUAAGUCAGAUGUGAAAGCCCGGGGCUUAACCUCGGAAUUGCAUUUGAAACUGGCAGGCUAGAGUCUUGUAGAGGGGGGUAGGAAUUUCAGGUGUAGCGGUGAAAUGCGUAGAGAUCUGAAGGAAUACCAGUGGCGAAGGCGGCCCCCUGGACAAAGACUGACGCUCAGAUGCGAAAGCGUGGGGAGCAAACAGGAUUAGAUACCCUGGUAG